rnacentral:rRNA from 1 species
AUUGAACGCUGGCGGCAGGCUUAACACAUGCAAGUCGAGCGGAGAUGAGGUGCUUGCACCUUAUCUUAGCGGCGGACGGGUGAGUAAUGCUUAGGAAUCUGCCUAUUAGUGGGGGACAACAUUCCGAAAGGAAUGCUAAUACCGCAUACGUCCUACGGGAGAAAGCAGGGGAUCUUCGGACCUUGCGCUAAUAGAUGAGCCUAAGUCGGAUUAGCUAGUUGGUGGGGUAAAGGCCUACCAAGGCGACGAUCUGUAGCGGGUCUGAGAGGAAGUGCCUCAACACGGAGACUGAGACACGGCCCAGACUCCUCCGGGAUGCAGCAGUGGGGAAUAUUGGACAAUGGGGGAAACCCUGAUCCAGCCAUGCCGCGUGUGUGAAGAAGGCCUUAUGGUUGUAAAGCACUUUAAGCGAGGAGGAGGCUACUGAGACUAAUACUCUUGGAUAGUGGACGUUACUCGCAGAAUAAGCACCGGCUAACUCUGUGCCAGCCGCCGCCGUAA